AUGGGUAUUCAGCUCCUAAGUUUUUGUCAUAUGUGCAAGGGACCACUGCCAAUGACGCUAUUGGUGGUUGGAGACAAGAGAAGAGAUUUGGGCCUUGUUGAAGGAGAAUCUACAAAAGGCACAACAAAGGAUGAAAUACUUUGCUGAUUAGAAAAGACUGGAGAGGCAUUUUAAUGUAGGGGAUUGGGUGUUUUUGAGAUUACAGCCAUAUAGACAGAAGUCAGUGUCUUUGCACUACAGUUUGAAGUUAGCCUCUCCUUAUUAUGGACCAUUCCAAAUCACUGCUAGGGUGGAAAUUGUAGCAUAUAGACUCAAUUUACCAGAUUUAGCAAAACACAUCCUAUCUUUCAUGUCUCUUGCUUGAAGGAGAAGUUGGGCCAUAAUAUCACACCCCUACAAUCUUUGCCUCCAAUUGACAAAGAAGGAAAUGUUCAACUAGAGCCUGAGGCAAUCUUGGAGAGACUCAAUCUUGGAGAGACUCAUGGAGAAGCUUGUGAAUCAAGUUUUCAUAGAAGUAUUGAUUAAAUAAAGUGGCACCUUACCUCAAGACACCACCUGGGAAUCUUUAUGAAAGUUACAAGAGCUUUACCCUAUCUUGUGGGCAAGGUCUAGUUAAGGAAUCAUAAGAGAAAGGCAUCUCAGAAGUCAGAACUUGUAUGAAACUCUUGUGGAGGCUGGAUUAUCCUCGAAAUGAUCCAAGAAUCCAAACCACACGAUCCAGCUCCUAGGUGCCAUCUAAUUCCCAUUUGAGUUCUUUUGCAGGAAUUGAUACUGCAGUUGAAUAAGUCUAUUGUUACUCUUGACUAAUCAGCAGAGGCAAGUGGAGUUCAGUUGGACCAGAAAAGUUCAGAUGUUGAACCAGUACACACACGGCCAAUGUUUGAACUGUUUGAGAUUUGCAAGAGUGGUUGUUGACGAGAUGUUAGGGCCUUUCAAUAGCUAUCUCAGAGUUUGCAGGGUAUGACCCUACUCAAUGAUGAUCACUUUAAUAAGGAAGCAAUAAAGCAAACCAUGCGGGAAAUUUGGAGACCGGUGAAGAAGAUUAUGAUUAAAGACUUGGGUUCAAAUUUGAUGCUUGCGGAAUUCAAAGAUCACAGAGAUGAGGUUCGUGUGAUGAGGGAAGGGCCUGGAUCCUUUGAUAAACAUCUACUACUAAUGAAAGAACUAAAUAUCUGUCAACAGCUCAACCAAAUCAAAAUCAUUGAAGCCUCCUUCUGGGUUUGAAUUUUCGACCUCCCUCUUCAAGUUAUGAAUGGGAAGGUGGGGAAAUUAAUUGGCGAGGCUAUCAGCAUCGUAGAAGAGAUUGAUGUUGAACAAGGCGAGGUGGCAUGGGGUGAGUAUCUCCGAAUCAAGGUUCGUCUUUGUAACGUCCGUUUUUGUUGUGGGUUCUUUAGAAAAUAAUUUUAAGAAAAAUAGAUAGGAAU